rnacentral:lncRNA from 1 species
AGUUCUACUAUUUUACCCUACGUUGUACUAUUAACCGCGUUGCGUGCCGUUUCCUUUUCGCUUCCUGAAAUCAUUGAACUAUUCUGUCGGCCACAUUGCACCAUUACAAUCACAGUUGUAGUCUUUUACCCUGCGUUGCACUAUUAAUCGCCGUGCGCGUCGUACUGUUAAUCCCUGUCGCAUUUAAUGCUAGCGGUAGGCACGAAGAGUGGCGUGUACGUUAUAUUCGGUUAAGUAAGGAGAAGAGGCACCGGCGGAUUUGUUAGCCGACGAUUCGUUUUGUUUAAAUAUCGGUUCUUCAGAUGCAU